GGCGGGGUGGCAGAGUGGUUAUGCAGCGGCCUGCAAAGUCGUGUACGCCGGUUCGAUUCCGACCUCCGCCUCCA
rnacentral:tRNA from 1 species